UACGUAGGUGGCAAGCGUUGUCCGGAAUUAUUGGGCGUAAAGCGCGCGCAGGCGGUCCUUUAAGUCUGAUGUGAAAUCCCGUGGCUUAACCACGGGCGGUCAUUGGAAACUGGGGGACUUGAGUGCAGAAGAGAAGAGCGGAAUUCCACGUGUAGCGGUGAAAUGCGUAGAGAUGUGGAGGAACACCAGUGGCGAAGGCGGCUCUUUGGUCUGUAACUGACGCUGAGGCGCGAAGGCGUGGGGAGCGAACGGG
rnacentral:rRNA from 1 species